rnacentral:rRNA from 1 species
UACGUAGGGGGCGAGCGUUGUCCGGAAUGAUUGGGCGUAAAGGGCGCGUAGGCGGCCCGGUAAGUCCGAAGUGAAAGUCCUGGCUGCAAGUUGGGAAUUGCUUUGGAUACUGUCGGGCUUGAGUGCAGGAGAGGUAAGUGGAAUUCCCAGUGUAGCGGUGAAAAGCGUAGAGAUUGGGAGGAACACCAGUGGCGAAGGCGACUUACUGGACUGUAACUGACGCUGAGGCGCGAAAGUGUGGGGAGCAAAC